GAUGAACGCUGGCGGCGUGCCUAAUACAUGCAAGUCGAGCGAACGGGCGAGAAGCUUGCUUUUCCGAUGUUAGCGGCGGACGGGUGAGUAACACGUGGAUAACCUACCUAUAAGACUGGGAUAACUUCGGGAAACCGGAGCUAAUACCGGAUAAUAUUUUGAACCGCAUGGUUCAAAAGUGAAAGACGGUCUUGCUGUCACUUAUAGAUGGAUCCGCGCUGCAUUAGCUAGUUGGUAAGGUAACGGCUUACCAAGGCAACGAUGCAUAGCCGACCUGAGAGGGUGAUCGGCCACACUGGAAUUGAGACACGGUCCAGACUCCUACGGGAGGCAGCAGUAGGGAAUCUUCCGCAAAGGGCGAAAGCCUGACGGAGCAACGCCGCGUGAGUGAUGAAGGUCUUCGGAUCGUAAAACUCUGUUAUUAGGGAAGAACAUAUGUGUAAGUAACUGUGCACAUCUUGACGGUACCUAAUCAGAAAGCCACGGCUAACUACGUG
rnacentral:rRNA from 1 species